rnacentral:rRNA from 1 species
CUAUUAGUGGUACCUCCUGCCCAGUGAUAUAUUCAACGGCCGCGGUAUCCUAACCGUGCAAAGGUAGCAUAAUCAUUUGCCCAUUAAUUGUGGGCUAGUAUGAAAGGAUAAACGAAGUAAGACCUGUCUCCAGUAGACCUAUAAAAACUAAUCUUCAGGUGAAGAAGCCUGAAUUUAAUCACAGGACAAGAAGACCCUAUAGAGCUUUAUUUACCCUAUACACCACAAAGUAUAUAAAAAUUCGGUUGGGGCGACCCGGGAAUACUAAUCCUCCCUAAUAACUAGGACCUACAAGUCCCUCCAUAGAUCCUAUAUUAGAUCACAGAAUCAAGCUACCUUAGGGAUAACAGGCUAAUCCGCCUAAAGAGUCCAUAUCAAUAGGCGGGAUUGGCACCUCGAUGUUGGCUUAGGGCACCUUUAUGAUGCAGCAGUCAUAAAUAGAUGGUUUGUUCAACCAAUAAUACCCU